UACGUAGGUGACAAGCGUUGUCCGGAUUUACUGGGCGUAAAGAGCGCGCAGGCGGUCGUUCAAGUCGAGUGUGAAAGCCCCCGGCUCAACUGGGGAGGGUCAUUCGAUACUGAUCGACUCGAAGGCAGGAGAGGGUAGUGGAAUUCCCGGUGUAGUGGUGAAAUGACGUAGAUAUCGGGAGGAACACCAGUGGCGAAGGCGACUACCUGGCCUGUUCUUGACGCUGAGGCGCGAAAAGCUAGGGGAGCAAACGGGG
rnacentral:rRNA from 1 species